ensembl:lncRNA
CUGUUCUGUAAAGUCUGCCCUUGCCCUUGAAUCUCCUCAUUAUGCUGCCUUGGAAGGGCUAUUCAUUAGUAGAGAUAAAGUGGGUUCCAACUGGAGACUUCUUAUAACUAAAUUAUCAUGUUAUUUAUCAUUCAAAUCAGGAUACUUAUGAGAAUUAAAGAGGGCUCAAUUGCAACUCAGCUGGGACAAUGUGUGUAAACCUAGACUGCCUCAGCCAGUAGGGUAUGUGGGCUGCCCUACCUAUGACUUACCCACUAGCUUCACAACUACUUUUUCAAAUUAGGGAGCAUUGGUGGAGCUCUAUGAUGUUACUUUCUAUAACUAACAUAUAUCAACCUUAAAAGCAAUUUCUAAUAACAAUAAUAAUAGUGUUUUUUAUAUUAUGAGUUAAAUAUAUCCAUUUAUCUAGUGCCUCAUUGUCCAGUCACUAAGUCAUGAAUCUUUGCGAACCCAUGAGCUGGACUCCAUGCCAGACUCCCCUGUCCUCCACUAUCCCCCAGAGUUUGCUCAAAUUCAUGUCUAUUGAGUAGGUGAUGCCAUUCAACUAUCUCGUCCUCUGUCACCCCCUUCUCCUCCUUCCUUCAGCCUAUCCCGGCAUCAGAGUCUUUUCCAGUGAGUUAGCUCUUCAUAUCAGGUGGUCAAAGUAUUGAAGCUUCAGCUUCAGCAUGAGUCCUUUCAAUGAAUAUUCAGAGUUGAAGACUCUUGAGACUCCGUUGGCUUGCAAGGAGAUCAAACCAGUCAGUCCUAAGGGAAAUCAACUCUGAAUAUUCAUUUAGUGCUUACUAUUAUGAUAAUCUGCCCAGGGUUCCCACAGGAAAAUGCAUAUACACUUACAGAUUUUGAACUCUUUUCCUUCUCAACAUCUCCACCACUGGUCCACAGUUUUGGGAGUUCAUUGAUAUUCUUGAAGGAGAGAGAAGACAGGGGCCACUGAUUGUAUUUUCCCAUUUCUUUUCCCCUUGCUCCCUCCCCUUCACUCUGCAGUAAUGUCCUUUGGUAGUUUCAAAGGUAUAUAUUUUGUCCUUAAAUAGAUGGUAAACUCUUUGAGAGGAUGAAUCGUGUCUCCUAAGUCUUUGACAUUCCCUACAGCUUCCAGUUGGUGCUUAACCCACAUCACCCAUCUCAUGCUGUUUUUACCUGAAUGUACCUAUGAUUCUAUGGGUGAAUAUAGAUUUUUUCAGAACUUUUUAAUCUUCCGUGUCUUUGUUGUCAUUACAACUUAGCUUCUGAUCCAGUGUUACUAUUAUAGUUGGAUUUUAUUCAAAUUUUAAUCCCACACUUCAUCUCCAGUAGCAGAUUAAGCAAUUGAGCAGUUACAUAUUUUGCCUUUCUUUAACCAGAGUGAAAUUCUAAGUAUUUUAAGAUAAACUCUAAAUCUGAAUGGAGUAUGUGUGAUGAUAGAAUUUUAUAUAAAUAGGAAUCAAUCUUGAAUAGCUGAAUUACAAACUGAAAAGAGCCAUUUAGGCACUAUUAGAUCAUCUAGACAUCCUUAGCACUGCAUCAACUAGAUGGAUGCUUACAUCGCUCUUCUUUGCCUUCUGUCUUUAAUUGUGCAAUUAUUAUUUGAUUGAUUAUUAAAUUGCAUUUUAUUGACUAAAAUUUCCACUUGAACAACAAGCUUAAAAAAUUUUAUCUAUUUCCUUAUGUGAGGAAAGAUGUGGCAUGUUAUUUAUAAUGCCUUAAAGACAAAAAGUAGGAAGCAGAAUUUUAAAAGCAUGCUGUAUCCUGCAUUGGACAUAGACUGGCGAUUCGAUUCUUACAUGAUAAUAUACAUGUUUCAAUGCCGUUCUCCCAAAUCAUCCCACCCUCUCCCUCUCCCUCUCCCUCUGAGUCCAAAAGUCCGCUAUACACAUCUGUGUCUUUUUUGCUGUCUUGCGUACAGGAUCAUCAUUGCCAUCUUUCUAAAUUCCAUAUAUAUGUGUUAGUAUACUGUAUUGGUGUUUUUCUUUCUGGCUUACUUCACUCUGUAUAAUCGGCUCCAGUUUCAUCCAUCUCAUCAGAAGUGAUUCAAAUGUAUUCUUUUUAACGGCUGAGUAAUACUCCAUUGUGUAUAUGUACCACAAAAAAUAUUAAUCCUUCUAGUCCAAGGUAUCUUUCCCUUUCUUUGAAUCAUCUUGAAUUUUUUUUUUUUUACCAGUUUUAUUGUUCUUAGGAUAUAAGUCUUUUACCUCCAGGUUUACUCGUAAAUGUUUUAAUUUUUUGGAUAUGAUUUUAAAAGGAAUGGUCUUUUAACUUUCUCUUUCUGAUACAUCAUUCUUAGUGUAAAGAAAUGCAACCCAUUUCUGUAUGUUAAUUUCAUAUCCUACAGUAAUGAUUUUCAUAUAAUGCACUGAGGAUAGAUUCUCAGGGACUGGGGAAGGUUGAGUGAGCUGGGUCUCAGGCUCUCAUCCUACAGUGGAC